GAUGAACGCUGGCGGCGUGCCUAAUACAUGCAAGUCGAGCGAACGGACGAGAAGCUUGCUUCUCUGAUGUUAGCGGCGGACGGGUGAGUAACACGUGGAUAACCUACCUAUAAGACUGGGAUAACUUCGGGAAACCGGAGCUAAUACCGGAUGAUAUUUUGAACCGCAUGGUUCAAAAGUGAAAGACGGUCUUGCUGUCACUUAUAGAUGGAUCCGCGCUGCAUUAGCUAGUUGGUAAGGUAACGGCUUACCAAGGCAACGAUGCAUAGCCGACCUGAGAGGGUCAACGGACACACUGGCACUGAGACACGGUCCAGACUCCUACGGGAGGAAGCAGUAGGGACUCUUACGCAAUGGGCGAAAGCCUGACGGAGCAACGCCGCGUGAGUGAUGAAGGUCUUCGGAUCGUAAAACUCUGUUAUUAGGGAAGAACAUAUGUGUAAGUAACUGUGAACAUCUUGACGGUACCUAAUCAGAAAGCCACGGCUAACUACGUG
rnacentral:rRNA from 1 species